GGCCGCGUCGCGCAAUGGAUAACGCGUCUGCCUACGAAGCAGAAGAUUGUAGGUUCGAUCCCUACCGUGGUAC
rnacentral:tRNA from 1 species